rnacentral:rRNA from 1 species
UACGUAGGGGGCUAGCGUUGUCCGGAAUCAUUGGGCGUAAAGCGCGCGUAGGUGGCCCCAUAAGUCCGCUGUGAAAGUCAAAGGCUCAACCUUUGAAAGCCGGUGGAUACUGUGGGGCUAGAGUACGGAAGAGGCGAGUGGAAUUCCUGGUGUAGCGGUGGAAUGCGCAGAUAUCAGGAGGAACACCAAUAGCGAAGGCAGCUCGCUGGGACGUUACUGACACUGAGGCGCGAAAGCGUGGGGAGCGAACAGG